UUCGAUUUAGCUCAAUGGUAGAGCACCUUGCUCAUAUCGAGGUGGUUGAUGGUUCGAAUCCAUCAGUCGAAA
rnacentral:tRNA from 1 species